rnacentral:rRNA from 1 species
AAUACGUAGGGCGCAAGCGUUGUCCGGAAUUAUUGGGCGUAAAGAGCUCGUAGGCGGUCUGUCGCGUCGGAAGUGAAAACCCGGGGCUUAACCCCGGGCUUGCUUUCGAUACGGGCAGACUAGAGUGUGGUAGGGGAGACUGGAAUUCCUGGUGUAGCGGUGAAAUGCGCAGAUAUCAGGAGGAACACCGGUGGCGAAGGCGGGUCUCUGGGCCACUACUGACGCUGAGGAGCGAAAGCGUGGGGAGCAAACAG